UAGGAAUUCUGCAAAAGGUCACCUGCACCACCAGAUACAGAGUUCUGUUAUAUGGCAUGUGACUUUGCACAAACAUACUGCACAGAACACCAAGAAGCAGUAAUGGACUGGGCAGAGAACUGCAUCAACUGAUAUGGAUGAUAAAUCGUGCUGGAAGAUUGUAUCCCUGAGUUACACGUACUUCUCCUGUGCGGCAUUCUAGAAGAAAGCAGACCUUAAAGUAAUCAAAAAUUUCGAAACUGAGUUAAGCAUCCUGGAACUGUUACAGUAUAACAAGUAUAAAGUGAAACAAUGUCUCAACAGAUAUGCUUACAGGAUGAGUGGUGCAUCUGUUACAAGAAAAUCAAGAGCUGAAGAUAUGAUUUAAUAGCGACGAAGGAAAGAAGAAAAAUGGAAAAUGUGAGAUACAUCGAAAACUGGAGACAAACAGAAUUUCCAAGCCAUUUCUGAGUCCUUACAUUUACCAAAACACCAACAUUUAGCAUGAAGUAGAGCACAGUUUUCCCUUCCAUUUUUUUUCCCUUGAACUUUUCCACUUCUUUCAUUUUGUCCAGAUAGGAAUAAACAGAUGUGAAUGCUAGAAGACCCACAGCAUUUAUUGUUUUGAUUAUUCCUGAUGCAGUGAUUGGAAAAGCAGGUGCUUUCAUUAAAGUGUACAUUAAUCUUUACUGUCAUAAGAUCAGCAGAAAUCAUAUCCAUCACAGUAGUAAAAUUAACCGAACUAUAGGUCUCAAAUCCAUAAUAAUAUUUCUUUGACAAAUUUUGUGCACUCAGAUAUAUCAAUACCGUAAAGAAGAUGCAGAAAAAGAAGUGAUUAGAAAAUCAUACUUUGCACAUCCAACGGAAUAAUAUCAUUCCUUAUUUAAAAUGUUGCAAGUCUUUAUGGCUAUCCCUAUAUGUUUACAAUAUUUUGAUAUUUUUAAAGAGUGCAAUAUAAUUAUUUAAUCUACAAUUUGUACAGUACAAGUAACGAUGACUAACUGAAAUUAUAUGCCCAGACUCCACAAUAUUUGAGAUUGGAAGUUUUAAUGAAACUUUGCUUGAGAUGCACUAAUGGUCAGUCAACAAGUACAUGAACAAUGAAUUAAUAAUCUGAACAGGGUGUUACUUGUGACAGAACAAAACUGUCUAGCCACAGGAGCAACCAAUAUUACUGUAAGAUAAAACUGUCAUUCAUUAGCUGCAGUCUUACAAUAAUGAAGCUACCCCACAAAUUUGUGAUGUUUGUCCAGUACCUUAAUUGAGUCUUACAAACUUUCAUUGUGAGAUGAAAAAUUCACUGUCACUGAGAGGUGACUUAAUGAAAGACCAUAAAUUAACAUUAAGUUAUGUUCAUAUGUGCAUCUGUAC